GUCGCCUGCGGAACGAGAGCCGGCCGCCUCCUCCCUUGGCUCGGCGGCGGCUGCAGAAGAGAAGCGGCGACUGGUGCACGGAGCCGCGCGGCCGGCCGCUGCCUCACUCCAUUGGAAUGUCUGAGAAAGAGAAAAGAAAAUGAAACUUCAAGAAGAGGAAUGAAGAGGCAGGAGGAAGGACAAACUGGAGAAAAAAAUACAGAUAACCUUCAACAUACUAUAUACUAUUAUAGUUUGUUUAAUGCCCAUUCAAAGUUACACCACCAGUGAAAAAAGUGAUUUAUGACCAUUUUUCACAUUUACAACCGUGGCAGCAUCCCCAUGAUCCAGUGGUGGGCUGCCCCCGGUUCGCACCGGUUCUAUAGAACCGGUAGUAAAACCAGCGGGAGGCUCCGCCCACCGACUCUGACAUCAUUGCCCACCGAUUCCGACAUCACCGAAAACACAGAAGAGCGCACGGCCCCGCUGCAAACCGGCAGUAAAGGUCACUGCAUUCAUCCGAAUUUUAUCCAAGACAGUGAGUGAUGAAGCCUUAAAUGAUCGUAUACAUCUUGAGGUUGCACUUGGAUGAUAGCCAAAGAAGAAAAUGCUACUUUUGACAUCUAAGAGCAAUUUAAGUGUACCUCACACAUAGGCUGGGGAAGAGAUAAAAGCAACAUCAUAGAUGUGAACUUGGAAUUAUCUGUCCCUGUACAGUGUCCCUUAUUUAUUAGUCAAAUUUAUAGCAGCCCAUCUCAAAGAAAGUGACUCGGCCACAUAUAACAAUCCAAUAAAACAGUAAAAACCC